rnacentral:rRNA from 1 species
GCAAUGCCGCGUGCAGGACGAAGGCCUUCGGGUUGUAAACUGCUUUUGUACGGAACGAAACGGUCUCUUCUAAUAAAGGAGGCUAAUGACGGUACCGUAAGAAUAAGCACCGGCUAACUACGUGCCAGCAGCCGCGGUAAUACGUAGGGUGCGAGCGUUAAUCGGAAUUACUGGGCGUAAAGCGUGCGCAGGCGGUUAUAUAAGACAGAUGUGAAAUCCCCGGGCUCAACCUGGGACCUGCAUUUGUGACUGUAUAGCUAGAGUACGGUAGAGGGGGAUGGAAUUCCGCGUGUAGCAGUGAAAUGCGUAGAUAUGCGGAGGAACACCGAUGGCGAAGGCAAUCCCCUGGACCUGUACUGACGCUCAUGCACGAAAGCGUGGGGAGCAAACAGGAUUAGAUACCCUGGUAGUCCACGCCCUAAACGAUGUCAACUGGUUGUUGGGUCUUCACUGACUCAGUAACGAAGCUAA